rnacentral:rRNA from 1 species
AACUUUCAACAAAGGAUCUCUUGGCUCUCGCAUCGAUGAAGAACGCAGCGAAGCGCGAAAUGUAGUGUGAAUCGCAGAACAUUGUGAAUCAUCGAAUCUUUGAACGCACAUUGCGCCUCCCGUAACAGGGAGGCAUGCCUGUCUGAGUCUCAUUU